rnacentral:misc_RNA from 1 species
UUUUGGUUAUUCAUUUGGCGCACACGCACGUGUGGAUGUGGCUAUGUCGGAGACCGGUGAGAACUUGAGUAAAAGUGAGCAGAAAAGGAGGCUCAAGGCUGAGAAGAAGGCCAAAGAAAAAGCAGAAAAACUUGCAAGUCAGCCCCCACCUCCAAGUAAGGCUAAAUCUGACACUGCCAAAGCUAAGCCUGAGGAUGAGGAAGAGAUCGGAGAUUUGGAAUAUUUUGCACUGAGGUCUAAAUCUGUAGCUGAACUCAAGACUAAGGGGGACAAUCCAUAUCCACACAAAUUCAAUGUGAGCGUUUCACUGGAGGAGUUCAUUGACAGAUACAAUGGUUGUACUCCGGGGGAGAUUCUGGACGAGGAAGUCAGUGUUGCAGGGAGGAUACACGCAAAGAGAGAAUCAGGUCCAAAGCUUCUAUUUUACGACCUCCGAGGGGAAGGUGUCAAAAUUCAGAUAAUGGCAAAUGCCAAACACUAUCCAUCAGAGGAGGAGUUUCUAGAGACCAAUGACAAAAUAAAAAGGGGAGAUAUUGUGGGGGUGAGGGGAAAGCCAGGUAAAACAAAAAAGGGAGAACUAAGUAUCAUACCAUCAGAAAUUGUCCUGCUUUCUCCGUGUCUGCACCAGCUUCCUCACCUGUACUACGGGGUCAAGGACAAGGAAACCAGAUUCCGUCAGAGGUAUUUGGACCUUAUCAUUAAUGAACCUGUGAGACAAAAAUUCAUUGUCAGAGCUAAGAUAAUCAACUAUGUCAGAAAAUUCUUGGAUGAGAUGGGAUUUUUAGAGAGACACCUUUGAUGAACAUGAUCCCUGGGGGUGCCACAGCCAAGCCCUUCAUCACCCACCACAAUGAACUAAACAUGGACCUAUACAUGAGGGUGGCCCCUGAACUCUACCUUAAGAUGUUGGUUGUUGGUGGGAUAGACCGAGUCUAUGAGAUCGGUCGGCUGUUCAGGAACGAGGGCAUUGACAUGACCCACAACCCCGAGUUCACCACUUGUGAGUUCUAUAUGGCUUAUGCAGAUUACAAUGACCUCAUGAAGAUCACAGAAACACUCCUGUCAGGUAUGGUCAAACACAUCCAUGGAGGAUACAAGGUGAAGUACCACCCCGAGGGGCCAGAGGGACCAGAGUGGGAGGUGGAUUACACCCCGCCCUUCAAACGCAUCACCAAAAAGUCAGGCGAGGAGACGGACAAACAGCCCCCCACAACCCCUGGUAGCUGAGUUCCCAGGUCUCCAUACAACCCCCCAAUUUUAUCUAUUUAUUGCUGCACACUGCACACCUUUGAUGUGCUUGAUGUUACAUUAAAACCUUGAAAGG